CCUAGGCGGGGCGGGCUGGGGAAGGCGGAGGCUAAGGGGCCUCGCCCCCGGGGCCGGGGACGUGCAGCGCGAGCUGCAGCCGCUGGGAUCAGUGAUGGCUCCGUGGGUCUCCCCGACUCCCCCUGCGCCGGGCGCCCAGGGGAACCCCUCCGACCUCGGAAAUCAAGAUUUUCCUAAUAUUUUGGCAAGCCAUGGUUUAGAAAGUACUACAUCUCAAGCUGUCGGUGAUCACACAGGAAGUGGCAUGCAUCCAGAAUAUCUUGCUUAUGGGUUGGUUCCUGUCUUUUUCAUCAUGGGCCUUUUGGGGAUCCUCAUCUGUCACGUGCUUAAGAAAAAAGGAUAUCGGUGUAGAACAGAGGCCGAGCAAGAAAUUGAAGAGGAAAAACUUCGAGAAAAGAUAGAAAUGAAUGAAAGUGUAAAUGACAAUAACGAUACUGUGGGGCGAAUCGUCAACAUCAUUAUGGAAAACGAAGCAAAUGCUGAUAUGUUAAAGGCCAUGGUGGCAGAUAACAGUGUGUGUGAUCCUGAAAGCCCUGUGUCUCCUACCACUCCAGGCAGUCCUACAAGUCCAGGCUCUCCUUUGUCACCAGGUGAUACUCCAUCAAAACAUAACUGUCGUGGCCGUCACUUGCAUACUGUUGGGGGAGUAGCAGAGAAGGAUGUUUGUACUCGCUGUAGUCACAAAAGAUGGCAUCUUUUAAAGCCAACCAACAAAUCUAAAGAACAAAGAAAAAGCCGACAAGGAGAAGUUACAGUACUUUCUGUGGGAAGAUUUAGAGUCACAAAAGUAGAGCACAAAUCUACAUCCAAAGAGCGGAAAAGCUUGAUGUCUGUUAGUGGUGUUGAAGGUGUCAAUGGAGAAGUGCCUGCCACACCUGUCAAACAUGGAUCACGAGAAGUUCCUGCCACACCUAUCAGACAAGGAGCAGGAGGGAGAACUGGCACAGAAUAACUGGUGGGUGCUGAAGAUUAUAGACUGACAUGGAAAGUGGGAUCUGCACCAGAGUGCCACAGAGAAGUGAUAUAAUUAAGAUGACCUAUUUAUGCUAAGGCAACAAGGAGGAAGAGAAAACGCACUGAGAAGAGGAGAAGACACAGAGUAAGGAAUGGAAAUGAACACUAAAACUCAUGUGACUCUUCUCUAUAGGUUGACUUCCUAAAGUCUGUUAGAAAUAUUGGUCUGUAUUCUUGCUCAUUGUACUAUGGAUCAAGCAAAUCUGAAUUCUGUGGCAGGGCUCACCAUACAUUCCUGUGCGUAGGUUAGUCAUUCACAAUCAGUUUGUUAAACCCGGUAUAAUGGAAAGGUAUGCAUACAGGGUUUUUUUCAGUUAAUUGUAAGUUUACUUGUAAGGCAUCUGCUAUUGAUUUAAAGUUUUGUUAAUCUAAAUACAAGGCAAUUACUUACAUUUGAGCAUGCUAAAAAAAGCCUGCACACACUAUUCACUAUAUUAAACUAAUAUCUUGUGCUAUCUUCUCCAGUCUGAGGACCCUUCUCCCAAAUUCUUGGUUGUCUAGACAGUGGUAUGUGUUAGAGUAGCCUGUAAAUUGCUUUAAUCUAUCUGUUGCCAGUGACCCUCUGGGCCCUUAUAGCAGCCAGGAAUUUGCCAGAUACAGGAACAUUCCUGAUCUUGCACUUUUUUCCUCACCAGAGCCCCUCUAGCUGGACUUAAGGGUGGCCUAGGAGCUCAAUGAUCAGGAGAUCAUUCAGUGACCAGUUAAGUUGGACUCCGGAUUGUUUUGUGCACUCAAAGUGGUGCAGGGCAGCUCCAAUGUACCAGUGAAUCAGGCCACUUGUUCAUGAGUGACAUUCUGUUGCAUUGUCAACAAUGUACUUAAAGUAACUUUUGUAAAGGAAAACCAAGUCUGUCAGUUUUAUUGUGGGGUAAAUAGUUUUGUUUCCGUUGCAGAUGGGGUUUUUAGAAGUGUGUUUGAUAACAUGUUGCUGAAAUUGAAAACUUAGGAGAUGUACUAUUAUAGGAAAUGUAUUUAUGUCACUGUAGCUCUUUAUAGUUUCUGUGAAGGAGUCUAUGCAGGGGUAGGUCCUAAGCACUUAAGACUUGUAGCCAAUAAAAUAUUUCCAGUCACUGACAGUGCUGCAUCCUGUGGUCAGCAGCCUAUUGGUUUGCCUUCAUCUUACAAAGAAAAACGUAUGUAACCCUUUGGGAAAGCAAAUGUUCUUCCACCAGAACUUCCUAACUGCUGUGUCCAAAUUAAAAUAUUUAAUUAGCUUAGCAAUGUAAACAAUGGAAAACAUAGGCAAGUUGUAUUAUAUGGGGACAGCUUUAUCCUUUAUUUCCAAAUAAGAAACUUAUGGCAUGGUGGCUGUCAUGGUUACAGGGAUAACAGCACUUUUGAUCAUUGUCUGGUCUCUGAGUAUACCCCUCACCUCCUGAGCCUCAUGUGUUUACUUCCCAUGGGGUGGUGAUUCUCCCCCAUUUAAAGUGGGGCAUUGAAUCAAGCAUGCUUAUGCCAGCAGGUCCAACUACAUUCAGCACCUGCUGGUCUGUCUUUGGGAGCUUGUUACCAGUGUCAAAUAAAAUAACCAAACAGCCUUCUGAAAACAAAAGUAUUUUCUAUUCUUAACAGUUAGCAGCAAAGUAAAACAUGAGAGAGGAUUUUUAAACAACAAAAGGCCUACAUGCUGUCUGUCCUGUCGAAGCGCUUUCACUCUGCAAGAGGAUCCUAGAAAGGCCUAGCUUUGUCAGACACCAUGUUAGGUGUCUGUGGGUGUCAGUCUGUUUCCCCUGAACAGCUUCCCGAUAACUACCUAACUGCUGGCCAGAGAAUCUUUUUAACCAGUCUUCUCACAUUCCUGUGCUUGGACUCUGCUGCUCAAAACCAAUUUGGUGGGCUCCAUUGAAGGUCAAGCCCACCUCUUCUGAGCCAAUUGCCCUGCCAUUGUCUACACACACAUAGUUUUUGUCGAGGAAUGUAUUAUCUUGAGUCAUUGUUUUGCCUUCCUACUUGUUUUUUUACAACAGCCUGCUAUUAAACUAAGACAAUAUCAUAUAGUAAACUUGCCUGACAACAAUCAAACAUAUAGCACACAAUACAGUAUUCAAAUAUUAUUAUAGAGCAGCCCCAUGUCCUUCAGAGUGUCUGUCUCUGAAAAUAGGUACCCUCAAUCCAUAUGUGCCAACUAUUAAGCCAUAAUAUCAGUGUCCUUUCUUAUAUUCAUAUUUGAGUGUGACUCUCUCAUACAAAAUCAGUGACUGUUAAGCAGUGCUAAUUGUUGUUUUUGUCUACUUGCCAUGAUUACCACUUUGCCUUAGAAAUGAUGUGUUUAAUUGGGAGCAUUUGUGAUAUUUUGGCAGACUUUGCUGUAUAACAGAAACUGAAAAGUGACACUUUUGCUCUACUGCGUGCCUAACAAGAAUACAUAUCAAUCUGUAGCUUUAAUGCAUGUCAAUAGGGAUUGUACUAAAUCAUGAGAAAACUAUAAAGCAGUUUAAUCUGCUUCACAAACUUCUUGUAAAUGUCUUUAUACUGAUUCAUGUUUUAAAUAAAUGCUGUGUUUUUGUAGCUGUGUCGGUCCCAGGAUAUUAGACACACACUGUGGGUGAGGUUAUAUCUCUUAUUGGACCAAUUCUGUUGAAGAGAGAGACAGAAGUUGGUCCAAUAAAAGAUAUUACCUCACCCACCUUGUCUUUUUAAAUGAAUACUGUCCAUCUUAUUUAGUCAGAGUAAGUGCUCUAAUUUUUUUCUUUAUCUCUGAAAGUCAGGUUUCUCCAUCAGCGCAUGUAUUGUUAAUUAUCAAUAUGUGUAACAGCAAAAGAUUUUCCCCUGGCUAUCAUUUCACAUGCCCCAUAGGUUGCCACUUAAAGUUCAGGAAUGAGGAAUAUUGUAGCAGUAUUGCGAAGCCCAAAAGCUCAAAAAUCAUGAGUUAGGCUCACCAAAAAUCAUGAGAUUAUGUAAAAAUAAUAGAUUUGAUGUUUGUUUGCCUUCUGCUCUUUGAGCCUUCAGGGUGCAUUGGAGGUCACAUAUUGAAGCUUUCUCCCUAGCCAUGGGGGCUAGAAACUUACUUUUUCUUUAAGAAUGAAGGCUGAAAUCAUCACACAUCCCUUGACUCCAGGAGCUGGGGCUUAAGGAAAACAAUUAUCAUGAGACUCAUGAGAGUUGGCAACACUGUAUAUAGGGAAGUUUACAUUGCUGACUGUGCUCUACUUGAUCCGUAGGUGGCAGAUGUAGUCCAGAAAUCUCAGACCUACAAGAGAAACCAAUUAUUUUUGUCAAUUCUAAAUAAAAUUAAGUCUUUUAACAAAUGUUUUAUUUACAGUUUUCAAGAUCGGAGUUCCAAAAGUAACUUUUAUUUGAGCCCGACUGCUAUUUGGGAGUAAAUACAAAGAUUUUAAUAGAUUUUUCAUUAUUAGUGUAAAUAAGAUAUAUUCCUUCACUCAGAUUUAACUCAGACUACCAAUAUAAUCUUAAAACUACUAAAAGAUACUUAAAUUGAUAAAUCCUUGGCCUACUGUGUUUUCCCCUUAUGUUUGCAGAUUUCACUCUUUUCAUGAACAGCUCUACAGCAUACUAAAAUGUAUGCAGAAGGAAUUUAAAUCGUGCCUGUAUAUUAAUUUCAGAAUUCCAGGAUAUCGUGAGAAUAGGUAACUGAAGUGUACAUGUGUGACAGUAUUUUUAAUAUUAAAAUUACUGGAUGAAAAUGUGGACUCUAGAGUAAAAGUUGUUUUUUACUUACACAGUCAACUAAGCAGUUGAUUGUUUUGAAUAUGAAGAUGUGCAAUUGUAGAGUAUCCCAAAACCUGAGAUUUUAUUCUGAUGGGAGCACAUUUUAGUAAUAUGUGGCUUAACACUGCGAGUAAAUAUGCUCAAAAGAGUGAAAAUGUUUAAUAUAUAUGCUAUUUUUUACUUAAUUUAAAAUUAGUUGCUAUUUUGAUUCCAUUAGAAAUAUGCAAAAUUUUUAUCCAGUACAUUAACAUGUAAAAUCUUAUUCGUUGAGAUUAUCUAGUAAUUAUUUAACAUGAAUUUCUAAUUAUGUACAUAAGGCUGAUGUUUGUGGGAAGUAAAAUGUGUAUUGCCACUUUAGAAAAAAAAAUGUGGUAAAUGUGUGAUCUUAUUGCAUAUAAGUGGUACAAACAUUGCCGUCAUCAAAAAAAAAACAAAAACAAAUAAACCUAAACUUCAUGAAGUCAGUUUUUCUUAAUCUUGGACAUCAACUGUAUUUUUAACAAUAUGGUUUGUAUAAGACUUUUGUACUACCAAAGUAGUAAAAAAAAAAAAAAAAAAAAUAAUAAUAAUAAUAAUAAUAAUAAACUGUUCCUAAACUCCUGUGUGUUCCUGUUUUAAAAAACCUUAAUUCUUAAAAAUAUAUAUAUGCUGUGUAUUUGUAGCUGUUGUGUUUGCACUAUAGUGAAAUUGUCAAGCUCUGUGGGGUGGCAAGGAAUUUAUGCCACAUUUUCACUUUUGCAAGAGCUGCUUACCUUCCAGUGAAGGACCUCCUGGAGAUCCUUUUUUGAUCUAUAUUUAAUCUAGGAAGACCGAUGACAUAGCGCUUUAAACCAAAGAUUUGAAGAAUCUGUGUCAAAUAUAUUAGGUGUGCACAUUUCUCAAUUUAUUUUUCACGUGUAAUUUUUUUUGCCAUGUUUACAAAUGACAGGAAGCUAUUUGAAUUUGUUGUUUCUCAGCCUGGCCUGCAGUGGAGUUACAAUGUUCUUUGUCACAUUGCAAUCUCCAUGACAGCAAGCUGUAAUAACUGUUAUGACAACUGUACAAUUAUGACUUCAUUGCAGGGUGGAUCAGAAGGAGACCCAAAGCAAGUUAUUACUGGGGUUAACCCAGAUUGGGUUAUCAGUAUGCCACCAGGAUAGGUAUGUCCUGCAACCUUUGCUAUUUUAUAUAAGUGUUUCUACCUGCAUCAUGAAAACAAGGCCUUUUUCAAGCUAUUGUGAAGGGUUUUUUUAAUUGAGUAGUGCAGUCCAUGGUGCAGGAUGAGCCAUUUUCCUUUUGUCUCAAUCUUCUAAAUGUUGGAGCAGCCCAGAAAAAGCUUAGCCCCAGAAGCACAACUGGACUUUGUGUUGCAAUGCCCAACUUUUAGGUACCAAGAAAAAUCACUGAAAUUCACAAGGCCUGAGUUAGGUGCCACAAAAGCCAGCAUCCUAGGCAGCCCCCUGCUUAAGUGAACCGAAAGGACACAUCCCUUCUGUCUGUACUGCUAAGCCCCACCUCUCUCUGGAAUUUAGGCACCUAAAUCCAAGCCGUAGAUGCUUCCCUCUGCUUGGGAUUUACAUCCAGGAAACCCUCACCCGGAGUUAAGUGACUAAGACAUUCUUUGCAAGAAAUGGCUGGAGGAGGUGAUGCUGCAAAUGCUUCCCUUAUAACUUUUAGCCCAGUGUUUAGACUCUUCACUGAGGAUGUGGGAGAUGCGGGUUCAGUUCCCUCCUCUGUCUGAAUGUUGGGGGAGGAGAGAGGAUUUAAACAAGAUUGUUCCCCUGUUCAGGUAAACAUCCUACCCACUGGGAUAUGGGAUAUUUGAAUGUGAGUCUCUCCCCAUCUCUCCUGUUGAAGAUGUUCCACUCUGGAUAAAUAAUCAUUGGAGCAGGGGGACUGGACCCUGUGUCUCUCACCUCCCAAGUGGGAGUAAGUUGGGAUGCGGUCUAAACAGGUUUCCAGCUAUGUCAUGCAGAAAGUCUAGCUCAGAAUAGAGCAACAAGGCAAUUCACUUGUGUAUGAAUAUCAGAGAAGGGUUGAGUAUCAAUAUUCAGGCCAAUUCACUCGUUCUGAUAGAAAUCAAAAGGGAUGUUGAUUGAAUUAUUUUCAUCGGUCUCUGACCUGUACUUAAUUAGCCUUGGAUUGAAAUAUAUUAGUGUUAAAUAAAUGUGAAUUUACUUGCUGUGUAAAGCUGCAUGAAAACUAUAAAGAAUUGUUUCUAUCACUUUAUGUUUACAUUAUGUUUACCCAUUGGAGACUGGAGUAUUGGAUAUGUUAAUUAAGGAACAUGUUGACAUCAAAGCCUGGCUGGUCAUUCUGUGUUCAGCAGUGGGGAAUACGGACCCAUGCUGUGAAGGUAAUGCUUGCCAGACUGUUUUCAGCUAUAAGAAGGGACCCUGGGAGCGAUUCUGCAUCUGUGAUCUAUUUGGAUGCUGUCAGGAGGCGUUCCAGGUACAAGACAGAGGUCCCCAAAGCCAUUUUGGGCAACCCUGAGAGACCUUGAGAAACGAGCAGCUACCACAUUGCUGCCAUCAUUUGGACUUACAAACUGUAACUUCUACCUGCUUUAACCUCUCAAUAUCUCUCAUUUCUUUGCUAAUAAAUCUUUAGUUUAGAUUG